GGGCUUUAAAAAACCCCGCCGCAGGCGUAUAUUAGGUCUGUCGGGAAACCGACUAUGGCGAUAAACGCCUUGUGGAAUAAGCGUAGUGGACCCGGGGGCAGUGCCCGGCGCCUCCACCAAAUCCCCCGGACGGGCCCGGUCAGGCCGGUCCUCCCGGGGCUUUCAUGGGGGCGAAACAGGAUCGACACGCGUGGUAAAGACUUGGUUUUCGCCCGGCAUGGUACCACCGUUAUCGGGCCGAUCUCAUAAAUGCCAACGACAAUGAGGCAUUUGCAGUUGCCGCUUAAUUGAGGCAACACGGGGUUCGGGGGGCACCUGGCAACAGAAGCCCCCCACU
rnacentral:tmRNA from 1 species